UACGGAGGGUGCGAGCGUUGUCCGGAAUCACUGGGCGUAAAGGGCGCGUAGGCGGCAGGCCAAGCGUGCGGUGAAAGUCCGGGGCUCAACCCCGGAUCUGCCGUGCGGACUGGUUUGCUAGAGCACUGUAGAGGCGAGUGGAAUUCCGGGUGUAGCGGUGGAAUGCGUAGAGAUCCGGAAGAACACCGGUGGCGAAGGCAGCCCCCUGGGAUGAUACUGACGCUCAUGCACGAAAGCGUGGGGAGCAAACAGG
rnacentral:rRNA from 1 species